rnacentral:rRNA from 1 species
UUGAAACACCGGUUCCCAUACAAUCACUAAAGUUAAGCAGCAUUGAGCCUGAUCAAUAUCUAAAUGAGUGACCACUUGGGAAUCCCAGGUGCUGUAAG